rnacentral:lncRNA from 1 species
CAAUUCUGAAAAAAUUGGCUAUAAAAACCCUAUGAAUAGCAGUGGAAAAUUGUCUGAUAUAGAGUUAGAAAGUAGAGAAUGGCACAGAAAGACUGGGCAGGAUUCUGCUUUGCUGUGCAGAGGGUUGCUAGGAGUUGGAAUCGACUCAACAGCACUAAUAACAAGAAUUGAAGGAUGAUUCACUAUGUUGUGAAACUCAAUCCCAGCUGAAAGCUGGGGCCUGUAGGGCCUUGUUGUCAUAGCAGCAGAACCUGACUGUAGGAGAGGGCUCCGCUGGUAACAUGCAAGGUCCUUCCAAAGCCUAUGGGCUCAGCCUGAGAAGCCAAGUCACCUUAAGAGGGAACGCAACAGACUACAGAAUCUCUCUGAGGGUGCCGGUGGAGGAAGCAGAGAAGAUGUGCUCAGUGAUCCUCAGGUUACUCAGAGCAGGAGUCUGCUGUCACAGACAUUCCCUAGCCUGCUGUAAGGAGGCUGUCCCACCAGGUAUGUGCAGACAAGUUCUUUUACUUAAUGUCUUUGCUGACUCUCUGGUCCUAGACCAGGCAAAAUUAUACACAGUACUUGAGAACUGGAUUUUAUCAAAAGUUAGCUACUCCUUCUAGGUUUACAUUGUUAUCAUCAUUAUUUGCAAUAGCAAUAACAAUAACAGUAAUGAGCAUUUAUUAUGUUGCAGGCAUGGGUCAUUCCAUUGUUAACACCCAUGAUAGCUCUAAGAAGUACAUCCAUCGUGGUUAAUCUUUUUUACCUUCAUUUUAUAGAUGAGGAAUGUGAAGCUCAAAAGGGAUGAUUCAGUUUGUCAAGAUCACAUAAAUAGUAAGUAGUGUUGUUAAGAUUCACAUCCAUGUUAACUGACUUUCAAGCCAGUGCCCUUCAUAAUUUCUAGCUCUCCUGCUUCCCAGCCCAUCUCCGUCCAGUCCCC